rnacentral:rRNA from 1 species
GGUUAAGCGACUAAGCGUACACGGUGGAUGCCCUGGCAGUCAGAGGCGAUGAAGGACGUGCUAAUCUGCGAUAAGCGUCGGUAAGGUGAUAUGAACCGUUAUAACCGGCGAUUUCCGAAUGGGGAAACCCAGUGUGUUUCGACACACUAUCAUUAACUGAAUCCAUAGGUUAAUGAGGCGAACCGGGGGAACUGAAACAUCUAAGUACCCCGAGGAAAAGAAAUCAACCGAGAUUCCCCCAGUAGCGGCGAGCGAACGGGGAGGAGCCCAGAGCCUGAAUCAGUGUGUGUGUUAGUGGAAGCGUCUGGAAAGGCGCGCGAUACAGGGUGACAGCCCCGUACACAAAAAUGCACAUGCUGUGAGCUCGAUGAGUAGGGCGGGACACGUGGUAUCCUGUCUGAAUAUGGGGGGACCAUCCUCCAAGGCUAAAUACUCCUGACUGACCGAUAGUGAACCAGUACCGUGAGGGAAAGGCGAAAAGAACCCCGGCGAGGGGAGUGAAAAAGAACCUGAAACCGUGUACGUACAAGCAGUGGGAGCACGCUUAGGCGUGUGACUGCGUACCUUUUGUAUAAUGGGUCAGCGACUUAUAUUCUGUAGCAAGGUUAACCGAAUAGGGGAGCCGAAGGGAAACCGAGUCUUAACUGGGCGUUAAGUUGCAGGGUAUAGACCCGAAACCCGGUGAUCUAGCCAUGGGCAGGUUGAAGGUUGGGUAACACUAACUGGAGGACCGAACCGACUAAUGUUGAAAAAUUAGCGGAUGACUUGUGGCUGGGGGUGAAAGGCCAAUCAAACCGGGAGAUAGCUGGUUCUCCCCGAAAGCUAUUUAGGUAGCGCCUCGUGAAUUCAUCUCCGGGGGUAGAGCACUGUUUCGGCAAGGGGGUCAUCCCGACUUACCAACCCGAUGCAAACUGCGAAUACCGGAGAAUGUUAUCACGGGAGACACACGGCGGGUGCUAACGUCCGUCGUGAAGAGGGAAACAACCCAGACCGCCAGCUAAGGUCCCAAAGUCAUGGUUAAGUGGGAAACGAUGUGGGAAGGCCCAGACAGCCAGGAUGUUGGCUUAGAAGCAGCCAUCAUUUAAAGAAAGCGUAAUAGCUCACUGGUCGAGUCGGCCUGCGCGGAAGAUGUAACGGGGCUAAACCAUGCACCGAAGCUGCGGCAGCGACGCUGAUGCGUUGUUGGGUAGGGGAGCGUUCUGUAAGCCUGCGAAGGUGUGCUGUGAGGCAUGCUGGAGGUAUCAGAAGUGCGAAUGCUGACAUAAGUAACGAUAAAGCGGGUGAAAAGCCCGCUCGCCGGAAGACCAAGGGUUCCUGUCCAACGUUAAUCGGGGCAGGGUGAGUCGACCCCUAAGGCGAGGCCGAAAGGCGUAGUCGAUGGGAAACAGGUUAAUAUUCCUGUACUUGGUGUUACUGCGAAGGGGGGACGGAGAAGGCUAUGUUGGCCGGGCGACGGUUGUCCCGGUUUAAGCGUGUAGGCUGGUUUUCCAGGCAAAUCCGGAAAAUCAAGGCUGAGGCGUGAUGACGAGGCACUACGGUGCUGAAGCAACAAAUGCCCUGCUUCCAGGAAAAGCCUCUAAGCAUCAGGUAACAUCAAAUCGUACCCCAAACCGACACAGGUGGUCAGGUAGAGAAUACCAAGGCGCUUGAGAGAACUCGGGUGAAGGAACUAGGCAAAAUGGUGCCGUAACUUCGGGAGAAGGCACGCUGAUAUGUAGGUGAAGUCCCUCGCGGAUGGAGCUGAAAUCAGUCGAAGAUACCAGCUGGCUGCAACUGUUUAUUAAAAACACAGCACUGUGCAAACACGAAAGUGGACGUAUACGGUGUGACGCCUGCCCGGUGCCGGAAGGUUAAUUGAUGGGGUUAGCGCAAGCGAAGCUCUUGAUCGAAGCCCCGGUAAACGGCGGCCGUAACUAUAACGGUCCUAAGGUAGCGAAAUUCCUUGUCGGGUAAGUUCCGACCUGCACGAAUGGCGUAAUGAUGGCCAGGCUGUCUCCACCCGAGACUCAGUGAAAUUGAACUCGCUGUGAAGAUGCAGUGUACCCGCGGCAAGACGGAAAGACCCCGUGAACCUUUACUAUAGCUUGACACUGAACAUUGAGCCUUGAUGUGUAGGAUAGGUGGGAGGCUUAGAAGUGUGGACGCCAGUCUGCAUGGAGCCGACCUUGAAAUACCACCCUUUAAUGUUUGAUGUUCUAACGUUGACCCGUAAUCCGGGUUGCGGACAGUGUCUGGUGGGUAGUUUGACUGGGGCGGUCUCCUCCUAAAGAGUAACGGAGGAGCACGAAGGUUGGCUAAUCCUGGUCGGACAUCAGGAGGUUAGUGCAAUGGCAUAAGCCAGCUUGACUGCGAGCGUGACGGCGCGAGCAGGUGCGAAAGCAGGUCAUAGUGAUCCGGUGGUUCUGAAUGGAAGGGCCAUCGCUCAACGGAUAAAAGGUACUCCGGGGAUAACAGGCUGAUACCGCCCAAGAGUUCAUAUCGACGGCGGUGUUUGGCACCUCGAUGUCGGCUCAUCACAUCCUGGGGCUGAAGUAGGUCCCAAGGGUAUGGCUGUUCGCCAUUUAAAGUGGUACGCGAGCUGGGUUUAGAACGUCGUGAGACAGUUCGGUCCCUAUCUGCCGUGGGCGCUGGAGAACUGAGGGGGGCUGCUCCUAGUACGAGAGGACCGGAGUGGACGCAUCACUGGUGUUCGGGUUGUCAUGCCAAUGGCACUGCCCGGUAGCUAAAUGCGGAAGAGAUAAGUGCUGAAAGCAUCUAAGCACGAAACUUGCCCCGAGAUGAGUUCUCCCUGACCCUUUAAGGGUCCUGAAGGAACGUUGAAGACGACGACGUUGAUAGGCCGGGUGUGUAAGCGCAGCGAUGCGUUGAGCUAACCGGUACUAAUGAACCGUGAGGCUUAACCUU